AUUGAACGCUGGCGGCAGGCCUAACACAUGCAAGUCGAGCGAGCGGCGGACGGGUGAGUAAUGUAUGGGGAUCUGCCCGAUAGAGGGGGAUAACUACUGGAAAAGGUGGCUAAUACCGCAUACUAUCGGUUGAACCCAUAUGGGAUUAGCUAGUAGGUGGGGUAACGGCUCACCUAGGCGACGAUCUCUAGCUGGUCUGAGAGGAUGAUCAGCCACACUGGGACUGAGACACGGCCCAGACUCCUACGGUAGGCAGAAGUGGGGAAUAUUGAAAAAGGGGCGAAAGCCUGAUGCAGCCAUGCCGCGUGUAGGAAGAAGGCCUGAGGGUUGUAAAGUACUUUCAGCGGGGAGGCGUUACCCGCAGAAGAAGCACCGGCUAACUACGUGCCAGCAGCCGCGGUAAUUC
rnacentral:rRNA from 1 species